UUUUUUAAGCUGAUUGUCAAACAUUUUCUAAUUUUUUUUUUAUUUAGGUUCAUUAAAUAUAUGUCAUGCAGCAGUCAUUUAUUUAUUUAUUUAUUUAACAGUCUAGCAUUAUCUGAUUUGUUUUAAAAGUUAUGUAUUUUGUAGUUUGUUAGUGAAUUUAAUUAUUUAAUUACACAACAUAUUAUGUGAAUAGUGUAAUAAUGUUCCUGCUACAUUUCUUCUAAUAUUUUUGUGAUUACUUUUUCUUCCUACCUGGUCUUUAUGCUAAGUUAUGCCGAGUUCACACUGCACGAUUUUAGCCCGAUUUUUCACUCGCCGACAGGUUUUGAUAAAUCGCCGACAAAUGCCCGAAAUCGGAAGGCAAAUCGGAGCUCGUUCACGCGAGUGACAAUCGCGCAGUGUGAAUUACCAAAGACGCAAUCUGAGAGAAUCGCCGUCACGUCGCCGACGCCUGUGAAAUAUUUGGCAUGCUAAAUAUCUGGAGCUGUCGGCGAUUCACAAUCCUGCUGUGUGCAAUGAUUUCUGACUGAAAACUAUCGCGAUGACCUUCAGCCAAUGAGAGACAAAGAUACAGGGCAGAGGGAAGUUCGGUGAGGAGUUAUAGACCAUAUCAGUAUUUUAAUAUGUACAAUUAUAUCAUACAGAAACAAGCACAAACGCUUGACCAGCCGCAACAUCAGCAUAACAGUUACUGCAAAAUUAUUAUUUACCACUCUUUGCAGAACACAAUCCCUGUUCCCUGCAUCUCCCUCCUGCAUAAUCUGUUUUUCUUUUUGUAGCUGGAAAUCAGGGCACAGACAAUUUGCGGGCUAUAUUUUUUUAAUACUUCCAGUCUCGCUUGAGAACAACGGGCUGACGCACGCAGGUUCUCGCGUUAUUUCCUUAUCACUUCUCGCGUGUGUUUUGUUGUGAAACGUAGUUUGCGGAUCAGACAGAGUUGUCGGCGAUUCUUCCUAUUGUGAAAUCGUACAAUGUGAAAGCCCCUGUCGCCGAUCCAUCGUGCAAUGUGAACACAGCAGCGACUGAAUGCUACCCCAGAUAGUCACGCAGUGUGAAAACAACAGCGAUCCGACGAGUUUGAAAAUCGUGCAGUGUGAACUCGGCAUUAGGAAAACCAGCUUCAUGUUUAAAUAGGCAAACAUGUGCCACAUAUACCAGACUGACACACACACACACACACACAUAUAUACCAGGACAGCCAGGCACAAGAACAGUUUCUUCCCCCAGGCAAUCUACAGAACAGUUCAAUGCUUUUUUAUUCUCAUCUUAUUUUUAUUGUCUGUGUGUCGUUGUUGUCUCUGUGAACUGGAAGGUUUUGACACUAAAAGAAAUUCCUUGUAUAUGCAAGCAUACUUGGCAAUAAAAGCUCUUUCUGAUUCUGAUUCUGAUAUAUAUUUUUUAUAAAUAUAUAUAUAUUUAUUUAUUUUUCUGCAAAUACUGCAUUGUGCUGGAUGGAGAAACUGAGAAGUUUAUAACAGAAGGCAUGGAAGAAGAGAGCAGGUCCUAAAACAAAGAAAUUCUUCUUAAGGAUAAACUUGAGGUCCUGGGAGUUCUUAGAGGUUCUAAAGUGUUUUUUAUGCAUUUGGUGAUGUCAAAUUUUCAAUAAUAAAUUCAAAUAAAUUCUCAUACUUUUUACAUUUAUAUGGUGUCAUUCCUACUGGGGGGUAUUGAAGAGGGAACUGCACGUGUGUGUGUGUGUAAUAUUUGUGGAAACAACAUUGUUAAAAAAAAUACUGGCUUUAAUAAUACAUUUUUUUGUAGUUUUUAGAGAACCAAUUAAUAAAGUGAACCGUUCUUAUCCAUGUAGGCUAUAUAUAUAUAGUGUGACGAGCGUCCCGGUCUCUCAUCAGCGUUGCCCUGGAGACAAAGGCUCAUCACGGCUGGGUCGGUCACACCUGAAACUCCUCAACCCACGACCAUAUAAGCCGGACGCGGCUGGGUGAGAGGAAAGACGGACUUCCUCCAGACUGAGGCUUAAUGUGUGAUAUCUUCUCUCUCCACAGACGCCAGUGAGUGACCGACCCAGCUCUGACGAGGGCACAACGGAGUUUGCACCGCACGGAAGGAAUCCCUCACGGAGAGCACCACAAUACUGCCACCAGCCACCUUGCACUUAUCGCACCUUCAUUAUCUUUGAAUAAAUCCACCCUCCGGGGUAUUUAUUUGA